AUUUAUAUAGUAUAUAAAGUAUAUAUGACUUCCAAUCAUAAGGUUUAAUUUUUAAUAUAAAUA
rnacentral:tRNA from 1 species